AGUGAACGCUGGCGGUAGGCCUAACACAUGCAAGUCGAACGGCAGCACAGUAAGAGCUUGCUCUUACGGGUGGCGAGUGGCGGACGGGUGAGGCAUACAUCGGAAUCUACUUUUUCGUGGGGGAUAACGUAGGGAAACUUACGCUAAUACCGCAUACGACCUACGGGUGAAAGCAGGGGAUCUUCGGACCUUGCGCGACUGAAUGAGCCGAUGUCGGAUUAGCUAGUUGGGGGGGUAAAGGCCCACCAAGGCGACGAUCCGUAGCUGGUCUGAGAGGAUGAUCGCCCACACUGGGACUGGAAAACGGGCCCGACUCCUUAGGGGGGCAGCAGUAGGGAAAUUUGGGCCAUGGGCGCAAGCCCUAAGCCGCCCAGCCCCGUGAGUGAAAAAAGGCCUUGGGUUUUAAAACCCCUUUUUUUGGGAAAAAAAAGUGUCAAGUUAAACCCCCGCUGUUUGGCCGGACCCAAAAAAAAAACCACGGCUAACUUCGUG
rnacentral:rRNA from 1 species